rnacentral:rRNA from 1 species
AGUGCGAUAAGACCUGAUUAUAAAAUUUCUUAUUUUCAGGUGGCACAGAAUCGGAGGCCCCGACUGUUUACUAAAAACACAAUUCAGAGCAAUGAUUAAUAUCAUAGUAUUCUGGAUGAAAUUUGCUCAAUGCCAUUAAUACAAGAGAGGUGAUAGGAUAACUGUUACUAAUCGAAAUUCUGGUCAAUAGCGGUCUUAACUAUGAGGAUCCUAAGGUAGCAAAAUAAAUUGGCCAUUAAAUGUGGUCGGGUAUCAAUAGUGUAACGAUGGUCUCACUGUCUCUACAACUUGCUCAGUGGAAUUGAAUACCCCGUGCCAAUGCGGUACUUCCAAGGUGGACGGAAGACCUAUGCA